CAAGUGGAGUGAGCAAGGGUCACCAUUUGCAUGCAUUAGGAUAAAUCCAGAGCUGGUUCAUUGUGGAUCACUGGGUGUUUCUAAAUUUGUACUAAUAGGAUGAAGAAGGCUGUGAUUCAAUGGCAUUUCACUCACUGAAGCUAAUGAGCUCUUCCUGUCCCCACACUGACCACAGGAUAUCAGCAGAUGAGGAGAUGAAUCUAAGCCUAAGAAAGGACCAGCAGCAGCAUAAGACUUUCCUGACACAACUGACUGGCUAGCCAUGCCUGCUCUGGGGUGAAGCCCAUGUGAGAAGUGGAGGAGACUGAAGAACUUUCUUGUUUCCAGGUCGUCCAUCUGCUUUGAAGGCUGUUCAGGCACUGCAGGAUCUGUGGACAGAACAGGUAUGUUCCUCAGGUACAAGAGUCACACACUGUCUGUGGCCCUACGGGGAAGCUG
rnacentral:lncRNA from 1 species